AAUGUUGGGUUAAGUCCCGCAACGAGCGCAACCCUUAUCCUUUGUUGCCAGCGGUCCGGCCGGGAACUCAAAGGAGACUGCCAGUGAUAAACUGGAGGAAGGUGGGGAUGACGUCAAGUCAUCAUGGCCCUUACGACCAGGGCUACACACGUGCUACAAUGGCGCAUACAAAGAGAAGCGACCUCGCGAGAGCAAGCGGACCUCAUAAAGUGCGUCGUAGUC
rnacentral:rRNA from 1 species